rnacentral:rRNA from 1 species
UACGGAGGAUGCGAGCGUUAUCCGGAUUUAUUGGGUUUAAAGGGUGCGUAGGCGGUCUGUUAAGUCAGCGGUAAAAUUGCGGGGCUCAACCCCGUCGAGCCGUUGAAACUGGCAGACUUGAGUUGGCGAGAAGUACGCGGAAUGCGCGGUGUAGCGGUGAAAUGCAUAGAUAUCGCGCAGAACUCUGAUUGCGAAGGCAGCGUACCGGCGCCAGACUGACGCUGAGGCACGAAAGCGUGGGGAUCGAACAGG